UUCGUAGGCGGUGCGGCAAGUCGGAAGUGAAAUCUCCAGGCUCAACUUGGAGGCUGCUCCCGAAACUGCCGCGCUAGAGUGCGGGAGAGGCCAGUGGAAUUGCAGGUGUAGCGGUGAAAUGCGUAGAUAUCUGCAGGAACACCCGUGGCGAAGGCGGCUGGCUGGACCGCAACUGACGCUGAGGAACGAAAGCUAGGGGAGCAAACAGGAUUAGAUACCCUGGUAGUCCUAGCCCUAAACGAUCAGGACUUGGGGUGCAUCCCGACGGGGUGCGUCCCGUAGCUAACGCGUUAAGUCCUGCGCCUGGGGAGUACGGUCGCAAGACUGAA
rnacentral:rRNA from 1 species